rnacentral:lncRNA from 1 species
GAUUUGAUAUAUACGAUGGGUUUCCGGCAUUUCAAAUUUUGAGCGAACUAGUUUUUGUAAGAGAAGCGGCGGGCGGUGUACGAGUCGACCAAGACGCCAGCUGAUCUCCCUCCACCGUGUUGACAAACACCCCGGCUGUGAUGCUCUCCUUAUUUGCCCGCUUAUCCUCACUAAACUAUUGUUUACCCGCCGGUGACUGACACUUCAGAAAGGGAUUAUUGGCAGAGACAGUACAUUGCAACCACGAUUCAACUAUCUGUAUGGGACCAACCCCAAUUUGUUGCAGUGAGGGGUUUGGUGCAACUGAAAAGGCCUUCAAGAGGCAUCUUGAAGACAUCUCAGAAGGACUCGGCGAACACAGCAGGGGCGCUGGACGUAGGGUUAUACGGCACGUUGUUCCUAGUAGUGAAGUCGUUGCCAGUGUUCUUGUCCGGAAUACCACACAAGCCGCGAAGCUCAGGAUGUAGAUUAGGGUUGGCCCACACGUCGAAGCGAUUCUUGCAGUGCUGGAGCUGAAAAGGCCCCCCAAAGGGUCCCCUAGGUAAUAAUCUACUCUCAUUUGUUAAAUAUAGAUGUGACCCUUAUCGAGAUAGAGGUUCGGGUGCAUCUACCAGUCAUGGAGACAUGGCGAGAGUUGUGGAGACUGGUAUAACAAUCUGACAGUCUAAAGCUAUCUUUGGCAAGCACCUUCAUAUUACAACUUUGCAGCAAUUUAAAGAAAUACUAUACCACUCAAGUCAAGAUUGAAACCAGAAGACGCGACCAGGCCAUUAGCAUUACAUGAGAAUGAGAAGGAGCCAUAAGAAGACGACACCGCGAACACUGUUUAUGUAGACCAGACGUAAAUCUGUGUAUUUAUGAAUUUAUGUUUGUAGGUUAGGUUAGCAUUUUAAAAGCACCCUUCUGGGGUUGAUUGUUCUAUAAAUCACUGAACUAUAUGUUUAACAGAUCUCUAACCCUGUACAUGGAAGAUAGAAGAAAAUGUAUAUAUAUGCUGGCUAGCAUUGUAAUUGUGGCCACGACUGCGGUAGAAAAUAAUAACAAAGAAACUAUACAUGUACGAUAAGUAGCAAAAUUAUUGUAUAAAAAUGUAUUAUUUUAAUUUAAAUUUAACUAAAAAUAAUGCAGCCUAAGUGGAUUUACCGCAAGAUCUUCAGAGAUCAGCCCCAUGAGGCACUCUCCCUGUCGUUAAACUUACCAUAAAACCUCCAUACACCAGCAUCUUUAGGCACUCUGCCUAGCCUCAGGCUCACGUUACGAUUCUGAGAGCCCAGCCCCCUGAGACAUUCUCCCUGGCGCCAGACUUACCAAAAGACCUUGAGAGCCCCCUGAGACAUUCUCCCUGGCGCCAGACUUACCACAAGACCUUGAGAGCCCAGAAUCCUGAGACAUUCUCCCUGGCGCCAGUCUUACCAAAAGACCUUGAGAGCCCCCUGAGACAUUCUCCCUGGCGCCAGACUUACCACAAGACCUUGAGAGCCCAGAAUUCUGAGACAUUCUCCCUGGCGCCAGACAAGGACUUUGUGCUUGACUCCUCCGGCAGUCACCCUCUGGGCGUAGGGACCCGCUGGCACCUCAAUCUCUCUACCGUUUGCACGAAUCUGCAGAACACAAAAUUGUUUCACAAAUAUACACAAAUUAAUCACGGAGGGAGAACAGGAAUAAAUAUCAGAGAAUUAAAUAAAAUUGUGCCAAAUAGUAAAUGCAAAAAAUGAAGUACAUUCAGAAACAAUUUAGACUGAACUUUAUUAAAAUAAUCCAGGCCUAAUAAUUGUAUCUAUUUGUAAUCACAAACCCUCAAUAAAUGAGAAGGAAGGCAUACAUCUAGGAAAUCAACAACAGCAGAACAAAAUGUUGUUAAACACUCUACGGACAAUCAAACCCGCAUUUCAUACUUAAUGUGAGUUGUUUGUGGUCGCAACAGUAGCCAAUUAUACUAAAGUAGGGCAUGAGGGUCAACUCACACCCACCCUACGACACUAUACAAUCACAACUCACCAUGGAAAGCUAUUAUUUUGAUUUAGACAUGAAUAUUUCUCCGGGAUUUUUCGAACAAAAUCGUUAAUAUAUUAUAGUAAACCAUCAAAAAAUCGAAGACCAUCUCUGUACUUAACACUUUUUAUAAAUACAUUUGUAAGCAAUGAUGCCACACAUCUCCAAAGUUCUUCCAAUUAAUAUUUUUGUAUGUAUAAUAGCAAGA